rnacentral:rRNA from 1 species
AGAGCGAACGCUGGCGGCAGGCCUCAAACAUGCAAGUCUAGGGGGUGUAGCAAUACAUCACCGGCGGACGGGUGCGUAACACGUGGGAAUAUACCUUUUGGUUCGGAACAACGCAGGGAAACUUGCGCUAAUACCGAAUGUGUCCUUACGGAGAAAGAUUUAUCGCCAAAAGGAUUAGCCCGCGUCCGAUUAGCUAGUUGGUGAGGUAACGGCUCACCAAGGCUCCGAUCGGUAGCUGUUCUGAGAGGAAGAUCAGCCACACUGGGACUGAGACACGGCCCAGACUCCUACGGGAGGCAGCAGUUGGGAAUCUUGGACAAUGGGGGAAACCCUGAUCCAGCCAUGCCGCGUGAGUGAUGAAGGCCUUCGGGUUGUAAAACUCUUUCGACGGGGACGAUAAUGACGGUACCCGUAGAAGAAGCUCCGGCUAACGUUCGUGCCAGCAGCCGC